rnacentral:rRNA from 1 species
UACGUAGGGGGCAAGCGUUGUCCGGAUUUACUGGGCGUAAAGCGCACGUAGGCGGCAUUGCAAGUCCCAUGUGAAAGCCCACGGCUUAACCGUGGAAGUGCAUGGGAAACUGCAGUGCUUGAGUACUUAAGAGGAUCGCGGAAUUCCCGGUGUAGAGGUGAAAUUCGUAGAUAUCGGGAGGAACACCAGUGGCGAAGGCGGCGAUCUGGGAAGAUACUGACGCUGAGGCGCGAAAGCUAGGGGAGCAAACGGG